UCAGAUUCGAUCACACUGGAACCCACCGGAAACCCUCAAAAUUCGCAUCGAUCGACUCCUAACCAAAACCCUCGUCUCCUUCACCUCCCUCCUCAUCCAUUACCUCAUCGCCGCUUCCUCUCCUUUCCUCUCUCUUGCGAUCGACGUGAUCCACCUCACGCUGCGAUCUCCGCGAAGAAAUAAGAUAUGUACCCGUCGAAGGGUGGGAACCCUUACAGCCAACAACCAUAUUCAGCGCAACAGGCGUAUGGACAGCCUGGUAGCGUUUAUGGGGUUGGCGGCCCCGAUGCUCGGCAGGUAGGUCUUAGUGCCGCUCAAGAAGCAGAUAUUGGCGGAUAUAGAAGCCAUAGUUCGCAAGCAUCACAGUAUGGAGGGCCUUAUGCCUCCGUUUAUGGAUCGUCUUCCUUGAGCAGUGCUCAGCAGGUUGGUGGAGUUAGCAGUAACCGUGGAUAUAGUCAGAAGGCAGAUCAAUAUUCUUUAGUGGCAAGUUCUGAUUAUGCCUCGUUGGACAGACGGCACUAUUCUGAAGCUCAGGGUAGUUAUAGUGGGAGAGACUUGGCGAGUGAUUCAGUUCGAAGAUACCCUGAUCCAGUUUCUCUAAGCCACCAACAUCAGCCUGAGAUCCACGAUCACUUAGAGCAGACAUCACUACUGCGGCAACAACAAAUACUAAAAGCUCAAUCCCUGCAGUCUGGUUCGGAUAUAAGACAAGCUGACUACUAUGCAGUGCGGACUGCUUCGAUUCAUAACGGAUCUGAUCAAUCGUAUGGAGGAAGAUACGAUGCUGAUCCUCGUAGCACAUCUAUACUCGGAAGCGCGCCAUAUGGUGCAGCCCACGCAGCUUCGUUGUUAGGGGGAGCUCCAAGGAGAAACGCUGAUGACCUCAUCUACACACAUGGGGUGGGUUUGCCCCCCGGUCGGGAUUACGUCACCGGAAAGGGUCUUCGUGGCCCCUCGCUCGAGCGUGACUACCAAAGUAGUGUUCUGUCGCGUGCACCGCAUUCCAGCGUUGGACUCUCAAUGGUUGAUGACAGAAAGGAUGAUAGAAGCGCCUAUCGACGAGAGCUCGAGAUAAGAGAGCGGGAACGUGAAAGAGAAAGGGAACGAGAAAGAGAGCGCGACCGUGAAAGAGAACGUGAACGGGAAAGAGAAAGGGAACGGGAACGAGAAAGGGAAAGGGAAAGAGAACGGCUACGCGAACGGGAACGCCGGGAUAGGGAGAGAGAACGGGAUCGGAAGCUUGGAGCAGAUCUGAAGAGAGAACGAACUCCACCACCUAGAGCAUCUAGGGAUCGUAGGGGUUCUUCUUCUGUAAGGGAUGAGAAACCUUUGCGUCGAGUUUCGCCACAUCGAGAUGUUGCUGUGCAUAGGCAUCGUUCCCCUGUUAAGGAGAAAAAGAGAGAUUAUGUUUGCAAGGUCUUCCCGUUUUGCUUGGUGGAUGUUGAAAGAGAUUACUUAUCUUUGAGCAAGCGAUAUCCCAGGCUAGCAAUAGCUCCGGACUUUUCCAAGGUUGUCUUGAACUGGCCAAAGGAAAGCUUAUAUAUUUCACUGCAUACUCCUGUGAGUUUUGAGCAUGACAUUGUUGAAGUAGAUGAGAAAGCCGAUGAAAACGGAUUAGUUUCCUCUAGUAAAUCUGCAACGCCCAAUGGCGGCGAUACUGUUUGGAAUGCCAAGGUAAUCUUGAUGAGUGGCAUUAGCAGUGAAGCAUUGGAAGACAUAUGCUCCGACAAGAGCACGGAGGGACGCAUCAUCCACUUCAACAAUGUUCUCAAGUUUGCUGUUCUCAAGAAAGAUCACUCUUUUAUGGCAAUUGGAGGGCCAUGGAAUGCUGCGAUUGAUGGCGGUAACCCCUUGAUUGACAGUUCUUGCUUGAUUCAAACAGCUUCUAGAUACGUCAAGGAUCUGACGCAGCUUGAUCUACACAGCUGCCAGCAUUGGAAUCGCUUCCUUGAGAUACAUUAUAAUCGAGUUGGCAAGGAUGGACUCUUCAGCCAUAGAGAAGUCACUGUGUUAUUUCUACCUGAUCUGUCGCAAUCCAUCCCCUCAAUUGAACUAUGGAGAAGCCAAUGGCUUGCAUUCAAGAAGGAGAUGGAGGAGAGGGAACGAAAAGUUACCUUGAAGAAUGAGAAAAAACCUGAUCAGAAGAAGGAAACUGUCCAAGGGGAUCAAAGUCAGAAAAAAGCUGCCAAAGACGAUUCCAUUAAAAAUGAAAUAUCUAACAAAGCUGCAAGCAAAGUUGAUAAAGUUGAUCAAAAAACAAACGAACAGAAAAAAGAUGGCAAUAUUGGAGCUAAGAAAAAUGUAACUGAGAAUAAAGGAGAAAAUCCUGCUUUAAAUGAAAAACAGAUCAAGAAGAAGGAUGCAGAAGCUGUGGAUGCUGAAGGCAUAAAUAAUGAAACUUCAACUCCCAAUGAGGCCCCUGUGGUACCAGCAGUCAAGGGUAAGAAGCCCAUAAAGAAGAAAAUCAUUAAGAAGGUGGUUAAAGGAAGGGUAAUUCGCAAGAAAGCAACUCCAGUUAGCGGAGAAGAGACUACUAAUACCAUAGGGGAAAAUAAAGAGGAUAAGACUGUUGAGACUAAGACUGAGGAGAAACCUGAAAAAGAAUCAGUUACUCAAGAUAACAAAGGCCAAGGUGAAACAAGAAAAGAUGGAGUUAAGACACCUGGAAAGAAGAAAAUCAUUAGAAGGGUGGUUAAGAGAAAAGUUUCUGCCCCUAACAAAAGUGAUGAAGCAAGCAAAGAAGGCAUAAUGAGUCAAGUUGGUCUAAAAGAAGAACUCAAGUCCCCGUCUGUUGAGAAAGAAACCUCUAGCGAUAAGAAAAUGAAAGAAGAAAAAGGAGGAAAGAAGGAAGGCCCUUCUAAUGAAAGUAAAUCUACUACGAAUAAAGAAGGCACUAAGAGCAAUCAUGAAUCUGGAAAAAAGGAUUCUAAGGAAGAUAACAAAGAUGGGAAGAAGGAAAAUACAAAGGAUGAGAAAGAGAGUAAGAGCAAAGAUACAAAGAAUGAAAAUAACAAAGAUGGAAAGGAUGAGAAAGAGAGUAAGAGCAAAGAUGCAAAGAAUGAGUCCUCCAAGCAAAAAAUGAGGAAAGAUGUUAAGGAAAAAGAGAAGGUAGAAGGACCCCCCAAGAACCCAGGAUUUGUCGUGCGGACGAAACGGGGCAGGGGAUCUAAAUUUAUUUUGCAGAUUCGCUCAAUGGCACUUUCGCUUGUUGGGCUCCUUGAUUAUAAUGAGAAAGACAUUGAGGAGUCAACUUUUGAGCUUUCACUAUUUGCUGAGACGUUUAAUGAAAUGCUUCAGUACCAAAUGGGAUGUCGGCUCUUGGCUUUUCUCGAGAGAUUACGGAGAAGAUAUGUAAUUAGAAGAAACCAACGUAAAAGACAGAGAGAUGAAAAAUCUGAGAAAGGUGAUGAAAAUGCCUCAGAAAAACGUGUGAAGACAAAUGAUGAGACUCCAACAGAAAAUGACCCUACAAAAUCCGAAAAGAAGGAUGCAUCAAACCAAAAUGCUAAUGAAGAGAAUAUGGCUCUAGAUGCAAGUGGUACUGUCCCAGAUGAGCCCAAAAUAGAAAACAAAAUUGAAGAUGAUGAUGUAGAAUAUGAAGAAGAGGAGGAAGAAGAAGAUCCAGAGGAAAUUGUUGAGGAGGAUCAGGAAAUGGAUGAUGCUGCCGCUGCCCCAAAUGAUGCUGCAGAUCAGGAUGAUGCAAAUGCAAACAAAACAAAUAAUGUGGAGGCUGGGCAAGAAAAAGCGACUGACGAAAAUGAUAAAAUCAAAGAAAUUGUGAAUGAGCAAAGCUUGGAUCAAACUGCAAAGGGUGAUGAAAAAUCUGGUACAAAAGGGGAUGGUGCUCAAAAAGCAGCACGGAUGGAUGAAAAAUCUGAUGCUAAAGGGGAUAAACAAACUGCAUCAGAGAAGAAAGAUAUGGCAAAGGAGGAUGUUGUUGAUAAGGAACUAUUGCAGGCAUUUAGGUACUUCGACCAAAAUAGAGUGGGCUACAUUACAGUAGAAGAUUUGAGGUGCAUCAUUCAUAAUCUAGGAAAAUUCCUUUCCCAUAGGGAUGUCAAGGAAAUGGUACAGAGUGCUCUAUUUGAGAGCAAUUCUGCAAGAGAUAACCGCAUAUUCUACAAGAAGCUCGUGGGGCUAGCCGAUAUCUGAUCUACCACAUCCUAGAAAGAUGAUUCAUAGUUCUAUAGAGUCGUGCUUCUCCAGUUGUAAAAUGUCGCUUGUACUGUAUGUCCAUGAUGAAGCACAAAUACAUUUUUAGUGGGAGUAAAUUUCCGAGCUGGAAAUUUUUAGCAUGGGCGAGCUGAUGAGAUGGUGGUGACCAUUUGUUAGAAGGAAUAAGUGAAAUCUGAUUUGCCGCUAUUCCAGUGCGAGGAUACCGACGCAUUGGCUGCGCAACAAAUUAGAGACGAACCAAGUUAUUUCUCUUGCGGGAAUUGAAGAACGUAGGGGAGAUGCGGGAGGCAGAUUCUUGUUCUUCUCGUUUCUCUUACCCACCCAGUUGGUGCAGGAUACGUAAACAACACAAUUAACGUUGGUUAAAUUGUUGUAUUGGGUUACCGUAACUUGUACUAAAUAAUUCUUCUUUUUAAUUUCUGUGGGUCUUUGGGUAAACCGGGACAAAAGUAUUAUUCUUGGGUGGGAUGUUUAUGUCGUAGCGGUGACAUUUAGAUCUGGAAGAUAAUGAAGGCAAUUUUAGCCGGGUCAAUUACUGGGGUGGGAUGUUUAUGUCACACUGCUGACAUUUAAGCCUGAAAGAUAAUGAAGGCGAUUUUAGUCGGUUCAA